rnacentral:rRNA from 1 species
UGGGGAAUAUUGCACAAUGGGCGCAAGCCUGAUGCAGCCAUGCCGCGUGUGUGAAGAAGGCCUUCGGGUUGUAAAGCACUUUCAGCGAGGAGGAAGGUGGUGAACUUAAUACGUUCAUCAAUUGACGUUACUCGCAGAAGAAGCACCGGCUAACUCCGUGCCAGCAGCCGCGGUAAUACGGAGGGUGCAAGCGUUAAUCGGAAUUACUGGGCGUAAAGCGCACGCAGGCGGUUUGUUAAGUCAGAUGUGAAAUCCCCGGGCUCAACCUGGGAACUGCAUUUGAAACUGGCAAGCUAGAGUCUCGUAGAGGGGGGUAGAAUUCCAGGUGUAGCGGUGAAAUGCGUAGAGAUCUGGAGGAAUACCGGUGGCGAAGGCGGCCCCCUGGACGAAGACUGACGCUCAGGUGCGAAAGCGUGGGGAGCAAAACAGGAUUAGAUACCCUGGUAGGUCCACGCUGUAAACGAUGUCGAUUUGGAGGUUGUGCCCUUGAGGCGUGGCUUCCGGAGCUAACGCGUUAAAUCGACCGCCUGGGGAGUACGGCCGCAAGGUU